rnacentral:rRNA from 1 species
GCAUAACGCGAAGAACCUUACCAAGGCUUGACAUCCCCUUGACCGGCACAGAGAUGUGCCCUCUCCUUCGGGAGCAAGGGUGACAGGUGGUGCAUGGUUGUCGUCAGCUCGUGUCGUGAGAUGUUGGGUUAAGUCCCGCAACGAGCGCAACCCUUAUCCUUAGUUGCCAGCACAUAAUGGUGGGCACUCUAGGGAGACUGCCGAUGAUAAAUCGGAGGAAGGUGGGGAUGACGUCAAAUCAUCAUGCCCCUUAUGUCUUGGGCUACACACGUGCUACAAUGGUCGGUACAACGGGAAGCGAAAGAGUGAUCUGGAGCAAAUCCCAAUAAACCGAUCUCAGUUCGGAUUGUAGGCUGCAACUCGCCUACAUGAAGUCGGAGUUGCUAGUAAUCCCGAAUCAGCAUGUCGGGGUGAAUGCGUUCCCGGGUCUUGUACACACCG